rnacentral:lncRNA from 1 species
GGCAGCACAGCAAAGUAGAGAGCUCACCGAACCAGGCAGGCUGAAAAGAUCCUUGUGGUUUUUCUCAGGUGAGGUUUCUGUGCAUUCUGCAGGAUCACAGCAUCGAUUCUUUUCCAGAGGAAAGCGCUUCCGGGUCUGACCCUAGAGCCUGAUCCUUAGUCAUCCCUGGAGAGAGGAGUCAGAGGAGGACGGGAUUUCCCAACUAAAUAGUACUCUGUUCAUUGCGGAAGAAUCCAAGUGAAUAGAAUUCCAUGGUGCUUAUGUGACCUGCGGUUCAUUUCAUUAUCCAUUCAUCAGUCAAAGGACUUUUGUGUCGUUUCCGGUUGGUAACUCCUGUGAACAGAACAGCAAGGAACAUGGCUGAGCAGGCAGAUGUGUUUGAAAUUGAUGCUCGUUCUGGCCUCCAAUUGCCUGCUGUCUCAUGUCAGCCCCAAAUCCCCCUAUCUCAGCUACUUUCAGACUCAUGACCUGGAAAAACCAUGAACUCCAAGACCUAACAAGAAGAACUCUUGUCUUUGAGCCACAGAGUUGGGCUGACUUGUUAUGAUUUCAACAGAUAACAAGCACAUGUUUUCAACGACCUCUGUGCCAGGCACUGUGAUCUCUGCUUCACCAAUGUGGAAAGCAAUGUGUCAAACACAUGUGCUAUCAAAAUGAAGACGCAGAACUUGGGUACAAGCGUAUGUUCAUGCUUCAACCGCAGCUUUACUGCGGUGAACAGACACUAUGACCAAGGAAACUCUUAUAAAGGACAACAUUUAAUUGGGCCUGGCUUACGGGCCAGAGGUUCAGCCCAUUAUCAUCAAGUCAGGAGCAUGGCAGCAUCCAGGUGGACAUGAUGCAGGAGGAGCUGAGAGUUCUACAUCUUCAUCUGAAGGCCGCUAGCAGAAUACUGACUUCCAGGCAGCUAGGAUGAAGCUUUUUAAGCCCAUGCCCACAGUGACACACCUAUGCCAAUGAGGCCACACUCACUCCAACAAGGCCACACUUCCAAAUAGUGCCACUCUCUGGGCCAAGCAUAUUCAAACCAUGACAGCACUCUUGAUCAUGCAUGAGGUUGGAAGAAGUAACUAUGUGCCUCUCUGUAUCUGCCCUGUAGUCUUUUGAUAAUCUGGAAUUAAACAGAGAAUUCUUCUGUGUUUAGACGAAUAAUGUCUGCUCAUAGCACUCCAGUCCAUGAGUUAAUUGGCGACAGCAGACCCUGAAAGCAACUGUGAGUUUGUAUCUCAUUGGGAACAGGGCUGCUGUACCAUGAGCCCCAGACAGUACUGCUAGUUGGAGGUGGGUGGAUGGUCGUCUAGGGAUUCCUGGCUGCCCUGGUGAGAUCUGGAGAGGGCUUUAGAAUCCCAAGCUCAAGGCAGACCAGAAAGAACCAUAUGGUGUAUGGUGGAAAAUGGCAAAGGAAAAGGGAACAAACAAGGCCAAAGAGUGGGAGAGCAGCUGAGGAAGAAAUGAGAAACGGUAACAGAUGUUCUGAAGAAUAAGGAGAAGAACAAGGAGAAAAACACUCUGGAAGAUUGAGGACAACUCUGAAGAGAUAAACAAUGGAGCCUUUUCUGUUGGUGCACCACAGGAUGCUCUGUCAAAGCCCACACUUCUCACUGGGACUACAGAAUAGUUAAGAGCUCUUGCAGCUCACCUAGGACUGGAGUUUGGUUCUCAGCACCUGUGUCUGAUAGUUCACAGUUGUCUGUACUUUAGUUCCAGGUCAAUGACACCCUCUUAUGACCAGUGAGUGGCUAAGUGGCAUUGGUCAUCCUGUAUCCCUAUUGCCUGGCACCAUGGGUAGAACUCCCCAUUUUUCCACCUCCUAUCCAACCCCCUGCCCAACACACACACAUGCACCCACAAUUGCCUUCCAACCUCUUAGCAGAUGUAAUAUUUACUAUGUAAUAAUAAAUAUUUCCAAGAAGACAGAGCCUAUUUAUUUAGCUCAACACCUGUCCAAUGUCUAUAAAACCUCAGGGAUCAGUUAACGAUAGGAUAUCCAUGGUAUAAAUAAAACAUUUUAUGACCUCAAGAAUAAAGGCAACCCUGGGAGUCAUGUGGAACACACUGAAAUUCAACAGUGCUGAGCUCCGUUACUGCACCCACGCUGUGACGACAAAGCAGGAUGCUCUUUGCAAAGAUGAAUGCAAUGACUGUCUGUGGAGCAGCUUGAGUUUCUGGAGGAGAACCAUCUGACUAUGAAAGCGAAUGUGCUAGACAGCUACCAAAGCCUCAAGUGAGGAAAAGUCACAGACUGGGAACGAACUUGCCAAAUAGAACCUAACACCUCAAAAAAAAAAUCUUAUACAAAUGAUUAAGUGGCAUACUUUUGAGGUCAAGAGAUCCUGUUGUGCCUACACUUCUCACUGAACAAUAUUACCAACCUCCUGCCCCUGUGUACAGAUUAAUAGUUUGCAAAAAUUUCAGGUACAUGGCCUCAUUUCUUAUAAAUGAGACUUGCACACAAAGCAAAAGCAUUGGGAAAUAGUGGUUAUUUUUACAU